GUCUUUUUGUAAUUUAUUUAAAGUUUAACCUGCCCAUUGAAUAAUUUUAAAAGGCUGCAGUAUUUUGACUGUACAAAGGUAGCAUAAUCAUUAGUUUUUUAAUUGAAAACUUGUAUGAAUGGUUGAAUGAGAAAUUAACUUUUUUAUUUAAAAUAAUGAAUUUUACUUUUUAAUUAAAAGGUUAAAAUGCUAUUAAAAGACGAGAAGACCCUAUAGAGUUUUAUAAUUCAUAAAUUAAUUAUAAAAAAGAAUAAUUUUAUUUUUAAUUAAUUAAUUAUUUUAUUGGGGUGAUAAUAUAAUUUAAAUAACUUAUAUUUUUUUUAUACAUUAAUAUAUGAUAAAUUGAUCCAAUUUUAUUGAUUAAAAAUUUAAAUUACCUUAGGGAUAACAGUGUAAUUUUUUUUUAAGUUCAUAUUAAUAAAAAAUUUUGCUACCUCGAUGUUGGAUUAAGAUUUAAUUUUAGGUGCAGAAGUUUAAAAUUUAAGUCUGUUCGACUUUUAAAUUCUU
rnacentral:rRNA from 1 species